rnacentral:rRNA from 1 species
AACGAACGCUGGCGGCAUGCCUAACACAUGCAAGUCGAACGAUGCCUUCGGGCAUAGUGGCGCACGGGUGUGUAACGCGUGGGAAUCUGCCCUUGGCUUCGGAAUAACUGUUAGAAAUGACUGCUAAUACCGGAUGAUGUCCCCCUGAGAGAUCUUUGGGACCAAAGAUUUAUCGGCCAGGGAUGACCCCGCGUAGGAUUAGGUAGUUGGUGGGGUAACGGCCUACCAGGCCGACGAUCCUUAGCUGGUCUGAGAGGAUGAUCAGCCACUCUGGGACUGAGACACGGCCCAGACUCCUACGCGAGGCAGCAGUGCGGAAUAUUGGACAAUGGGGGGAACCCUGAUCCAGCAAUGCCGCGUAAGUUAUGAAGGCCGUAGGGUUGUAAAGCUCUUUUACCAGGGAUGAUAAUGACAGUACCUGGAGAAUAAGCUCCGGCUAACUCCGUG